UACGGAGGGUGCAAGCGUUGUCCGGAUUUAUUGGGUUUAAAGGGUGCGUAGGUGGUUUAGUAAGUCUGGUAUGAAAGCUGGUCGCUUAACGAUCAGAUGUGGCUGGAAACUGGUAAACUUGAAUGCGUUGGCGGUAGCCGGAACGGGUCAUGUAGCGGUGAAAUGCAUAGAUAUGACCCAGAACACCGAUUGCGAAGGCAGGCUACUACGACGUGAUUGACACUGAGGCACGAGAGCAUGGGUAGCGAACAGG
rnacentral:rRNA from 1 species